UACGGAGGAUCCAAGCGUUAUCCGGAUUUAUUGGGUUUAAAGGGUGCGUAGGCGGACCCUUAAGUCAGUGGUGAAAGUUUGCAGCUCAACUGUAAAAUUGCCAUUGAAACUGAGGGUCUUGAGUGUAAAUAAGGUAGGCGGAAUGUGUUGUGUAGCGGUGAAAUGCUUAGAUAUAACACAGAACACCAAUUGCGAAGGCAGCUUACUGGGAUACAACUGACGCUGAGGCACGAAAGCGUGGGGAUCAAACAGG
rnacentral:rRNA from 1 species